rnacentral:misc_RNA from 1 species
GAUGAAGAACGUAGCGAACUGCGAUAAGUAAUGUGAAUUGCAGAAUUCAGUGAAUCAUCGAAUCUUUGAACGCACAUUGCGCCCCUUGGUAUUCCGAGGGGCAUGCCUGUUCGAGCGUCAUUAUAACCCCUCAAGCUCAGCUUGGUGUUGGGGCCUGCUGCACUGGCAGCCCUUAAAAUCAGUGGCGGCGCCAUCUGGCUCUAAGCGUAGUAAUUCUUCUCGCUAUGGAGUCCUGGUGGAUGCUUGCCAUCAACCCCCAAUUUUUCUAUGGUUGACCUCGGAUCAGGUAGGGAUACCCGCUGAACUUAAGCAUAUCAAUAAGCGGAGGA